rnacentral:rRNA from 1 species
AUUGAACGCUGGCGGCAGGCCUAACACAUGCAAGUCGAGCGGAUGAAGGGAGCUUGCUCCUGGAUUCAGCGGCGGACGGGUGAGUAAUGCCUAGGAAUCUGCCUGGUAGUGGGGGAUAACGUCCGGAAGCGGGCGCUAAUACCGCAUACGUCCUGAGGGAGAAAGUGGGGGAUCUUCGGACCUCACGCUAUCAGAUGAGCCUAGGUCGGAUUAGCUAGUUGGUGGGGUAAAGGCCUACCAAGGCGACGAUCCAUAACUGGUCUGAGAGGAUGAUCAGUCACACUGGAACUGAGACACGGUCCAGACUCCUACGGGAGGCAGCAGUGGGGAAUAUUGGACAAUGGGCGAAAGCCUGAUCCAGCCAUGCCGCGUGUGUGAAGAAGGUCUUCGGAUUGUAAAGCACUUUAAGUUGGGAGGAAGGGCAGUAAGUUAAUACCUUGCUGUUUUGACGUUACCAACAGAAUAAGCACCGGCUAACUUCGUG